rnacentral:lncRNA from 1 species
GCCUAAUUACUUUGAUUGCAAAUUUAUUCUUCAUUGCAAAUCUGAAUUUUGCCGAAAAGCAAAGUCUGUUCAGGAGCGUUCUGGAUGUAAAUGAACGGACGGAUCAGAUGGAUGAUGUCACGGCAGUAAUGAGUGCAGGGCCGGCGCUAGCCAUUUGGGUGCCCUAAGCACAAAUGCUUGGCGGUGCCCCCCCCCCCAUAUAUAAUAACAGUAUAAGUGUAUGAAUUUUAUGAAGUAUGAAUUUUAAAGUGCACAUUUUAAACUGCAAAUAACCAUGCAAUUAUACACAGUACACACACAUAUAUCAUGUAGACACAAACUUUUAUUUUGGAUGCGAUUAAUCAAGAUUAAUCUUUUCCCAUCCCUAAUAAUUUGACAACUCUGUGAAUAUGAAAAUAUACAAACACUGAGAUUGUUUUUUUUUUUUCUAAUUGCAGUUUCACCAACAGAUGUCGCCCUUGGCCGAACCUCUUGAAAAUGACCGCAUGCCAUAGUACAACAACGAAAAAUCUAAGCGGUCUAAUUUGGCAAAAUCACAUCACGUGAGGCAUAAUCGAACAGACCACUGGGAGGUGGGGAAGGGGGGGCACCAGAGGGAGACUGGCACAGAGAUUCACCUUUUUCUCGACUAAUUUGGUCUAGGCCUAUAUUACUUUUCUAUUGCUUUUGUAUAUUAACAUGCUUUUAGAAAUAUUUUAUUUGUUAUUUAUACUAGUAGCCUAUUGUGAUGAUUUUUUCACGACCCAGAUUUUUUGGUGCCCCCCCAAGCACUUGGUGCCCUAUGCACAGUGCGUGAUGUGCGUGUGCGGAGCGCCGGCCCUGAAUGAGUGAAACCCAACACCGAGCGCGCAGCGCAGCGCUGGAGAUGCGCCGAACCGAGCAAGUCCAGACACAUGCGGAGCUCAGAGCCCGGAGCGACUCUCUCUCUCUCUCUCUCUCUCCUCCAUUUCUCUCGCUCUCAGUCCGGUUUAAUACGGUCCUUCUGACCUGCUCUCUCAAUAAACCCGCCGUAUCCCGUCAUCGCCCCGUGUUUCCAAAAGCGCGCUUGAUGUUCGAGGUCUGA